rnacentral:sRNA from 1 species
AAAGGGGAGGCUGACUUGUCUCAGCAUCGAGUUGAUCGGAGUGAGUCAUGUCGGAUCGUGAAGUUGGCACUGUUAAAUGGUUCAACGACGCCAAAGGCUUUGGCUUCAUCAGUCGUGAAAGCGGCCCAGAUGUUUUCGUACAUUUUCGGGCGAUCAGCGGAACGGGGUUCCGCAGCCUGAAAGAGGGCCAGAAGGUGAGCUUCAAGGUUGUGCAGGGGCAGAAGGGCCUGCAGGCUGAUGAAGUGGCGCCCGCCUGAGUUCAUUGGGGAAUCUAAUCGUUGCGUGAAGAAAAGGCCGGUGCAUGCCGGCCUUUUUUAU